rnacentral:tRNA from 1 species
UCCCUGGUGGCUCAGUGGUAAAGAAUCUGCCUACUAAGGCAGGAGACUCGGGUUUGAGCCCCGAUCCGGGAG